UACGUAGGUGGCAAGCGUUACUCGGAAUCACUAGGCGUAAAGCGCAGGUAGGCGGUUGGGUAAGUCUGUUGUGAAAGCUCCUGGCUUAACUGGGAGAGGUCAACGGAAACUACCUGGCUAGAGUGUGGUAGAGGGUGCUGGAAUUCCCGGUGUAGCGGUGAAAUGCGUAGAGAUCGGGAGGAACACCUGUGGCGAAAGCGGCGCACUGGACCAUAACUGACGCUGAUGCGCGAAAGCUAGGGGAGCAAACAGG
rnacentral:rRNA from 1 species